rnacentral:lncRNA from 1 species
UAGAGUCUCAGAGAUAAUCAAAGGAAUUACAAAUACAUUGGAAGUGCAAACUCAUUUUUUUGAACGACGAAGUGCAACCUCUUAUAAAACAGAAAGAAGUGCAUCCUCAUAUACACGUAUACAGUGUCCGCUGGUAGUAGAUUGUGCUUCGGGAUUAUUAAAGAUGAUUGGGCUUCUAACUAAUCCACCUUCUGGGCCUUAAAACGCUGUCUUUAA